rnacentral:rRNA from 1 species
CCUACGGGUGGCUGCAGUGGGGAAUAUUGCGCAAUGGGCGAAAGCCUGACGCAGCGACGCCGCGUGAGGGAUGAAGGUCCUCGGAUCGUAAACCUCUGUCAGCAGGGAAGAACGGUCACUGUGCUAAUCAGCAGUGAAUUGACGGUACCUGCAAAGGAAGCACCGGCUAAAUCCGUGCCAGCAGCAGCGGUAAUACGGAGGGUGGGAGCGUUAAUCGGAUUUACUGGGCGUAAAGGGCUCGUAGGCGGUAUGUCAAGUCAAGGGUGAAAUCCCCGCGCUCAACGUGGGAACUGCCUUUGAAACUGGCAGACUGGAGAGUGUGAGAGGAUAGUGGAAUUCCAGGUGUAGGAGUGAAAUCCGUAGAUAUCUGGAGGAACAUCAGUGGCGAAGGCGACUAUCUGGCACAUAACUGACGCUGAGGAGCGAAAGCGUGGGUAGCAAACAGGAUUAGAUACCCCUGUAGUC